rnacentral:rRNA from 1 species
GAUGAACGCUGGCGGCGUGCUUAACACAUGCAAGUCGAACGGUGAAGCAGGAGCUUGCUCCUGUGGAUCAGUGGCGAACGGGUGAGUAACACGUGAGCAAUCUGCCCUGGACUCUGGGAUAAGCGCUGGAAACGGCGUCUAAUACCGGAUACGAGGCGUGGGGGCAUCCCCAACGCCUGGAAAGAACUUCGGUCCAGGAUGAGCUCGCGGCCUAUCAGCUAGUUGGUGAGGUAACGGCUCACCAAGGCGACGACGGGUAGCCGGCCUGAACACGGCCCAGACUCCUACGGGAGGCAGCAGUGGGGAAUAUUGCACAAUGGGCGCAAGCCUGAUGCAGCAACGCCGCGUGAGGGACGACGGCCUUCGGGUUGUAAACCUCUUUUAGCAGGGAAGAAGCGAAAGUGACGGUACCUGCAGAAAAAGCACCGGCUAACUACGUGCCAGCCGCCGCAGUAAGAC